rnacentral:rRNA from 1 species
GUCCACGCCGUAAACGAUGAGUGCUAGGUGCUGCGGGUAUUGACCCCUGCGGUGCCGUAGCUAACGCGUUAAGCACUCCGCCUGGGGAGUACGGCCGCAAGGCUAAAACUCAAAGGAAUUGACGGGGGCCCCGCACAAGCGGUGGAGCAUGUGGUUCAAUUCGACGCAACGCGCAGAACCUUACCUGGGUUAAAUCCACUCAAAGCUGGCAGAGAUGCCGGGGUGCCCUUCGGGAAGUGAGUGAGAAGGUGCUGCAUGGCUGUCGU